rnacentral:rRNA from 1 species
AGAGUGGGCCUGAGAAAUUGCUCAUACUUCUAAGGAAGGCAGCAGGCGCGCAACGUUCCCAAUGGGCAAUAGC